UGGGGAAUUUUUGGACAAUGGGCGAAAGCCUGAUCCAGCAAUGCCGCGUGUGUGAAGAAGGCCUUCGGGUUGUAAAGCACUUUUGUCCGGAAAGAAAUCCUUGGCUCUAAUACAGUCGGGGGAUGACGGUACCGGAAGAAUAAGCACCGGCUAACUACGUGCCAGCAGCCGCGGUAAUACGUAGGGUGCAAGCGUUAAUCGGAAUUACUGGGCGUAAAGCGUGCGCAGGCGGUUUGCUAAGACCGAUGUGAAAUCCCCGGGCUCAACCUGGGAACUGCAUUGGUGACUGGCAGGCUAGAGUAUGGCAGAGGGGGGUAGAAUUCCACGUGUAGCAGUGAAAUGCGUAGAGAUGUGGAGGAAUACCGAUGGCGAAGGCAGCCCCCUGGGCCAAUACUGACGCUCAUGCACGAAAGCGUGGGGAGCAAACAGGAUUAGAUACCCUGGUAGUCCACGCCCUAAAACGAUGUCAACUAGUUGUUGGGGAUUCAUUUCCUUAGUAACGUAGCUAACGCGUGAAGUUGACCGCCUGGGGAGUACGGUCGCAAGAUUAAAACUCAAUGAAUUGACGGGGUCAUAGCUGUUUCCU
rnacentral:rRNA from 1 species